rnacentral:sRNA from 1 species
GGAUGGGAGGGUGAGCUGGCUGUGACACAUGUCACUCCGGUGUUGCCAGGGUUGAUUCGGCUGAUCUGGCUGGCUAGGCAGGUGUUCCCUUCCUGCCCCAUCACUUCUUGUAUACCCUCCUCAAGCUGCAUGCUUGGUCAAAGCGGACAACCAUCCCUGAUAGAGGAGGAUCCAUCUUCCACCAAGGGUAUACGAGUAGCUGCUCCCCUGCUAGAACCUCCAAAUAAGCUCACAAAGAGGGGGGGCUUUUAAUUUUUUUUGUU